AACGUAGGUGGCAAGCGUUAUCCGGAUUUACUGGGCGUAAAGCGUGCGCAGGCGGCGCGUUAAGACAGGUGUGAAAGCCCCGAGCUUAACUUGGGAAUUGCGCUUGUGACUGGCGUGCUGGAGUGUGGCAGAGGGAGGUGGAAUUCCACGUGUAGCAGUGAAAUGCGUAGAGAUGUGGAGGAACACCGAUGGCGAAGGCAGCCUCCUGGGCCAGCACUGACGCUCAUGCACGAAAGCGUGGGGAGCAAACAGG
rnacentral:rRNA from 1 species